UUAAAAAAAAUAAGUGUAAAGUUGGGAUAAUGGGGCCAUUUUGAAGAUUAAAUGGUAGCAUUUGUGGAAAGCAUUUAGCACAUAGUAGUCAUGAUAGUGAGGAUGAUAGUGAUGAGUAGAAUGAUGGGGAGGUAAUGACAAUGACGAUGAUGGUGUCAAUGGUGGUGGUGAUGAUAAAGGUAGUGGUGACGAUAGCGGGGAUGAGGAUGGUGGUGAUGAUGAUGACGGUGAUAAUGGUGGUGAGGAUGAUGGUGAAGAUGGUAAUGAUGAUGGUGGUGAUGAUGGUAAUGAUGAUGGUGGUAAUGGUGGUGAUGAUAAUGGAGGUGAGGAUGGUGGUGAAGAUGCUAAUCAUGAUGGUGGUGAUGGUGGUGAGGAUGGUGGUGAAGAUGCUAAUCAUGAUGGUGGUGAUAAUGGUGCUGGCAUAAUGGUGGUGAUGAUGGUGGUGAUGAGGAUGGUAGUGAGGAUUACAGUUGAUCUGAGAUGCCAUAUGGUAUCAGUGGUUAAGAUCAUAGAUUGAGGAGCCACACUACAUGGGUACAAAUCCUGCCUCUACCCUGUAAUAGUUGUAUGGUCAUGGACAAAGUUAUUAGCUAUCUUUUGCUUUGUAACAAAUUACUUGAAAACUAAAUGGCUUGAAACAUAUCAUGUCACAGUUUUGGAGGGUCAGGAAUCUUGGCAUGACUUAGCUGUGUCAUCUGCUUCUUGUGUCCACUGUUUCUUAAAAGACUGCAGUAGAGGCAUUGAUCUAAGGUCUGUGGUCUCAUCUCAUGGGCUCAAUGGGGAAGGAGCCACACCAAGCUCACUCCCAUGGCUCUAGGCAAGGUUUUGCUCCUUUGGUACUGUUGGACUUGGAGUCCGAGUUUUUUGCUGGCUGCUAGCUGGAGGAUACCCUUACCGAGAGUGUUUCUAGCGCAGUAGCUUGCUUCAUCCAAGUCAGAGGAAAGAGUCUACUAGUGGAGUAGAUGUCUUUGUGAUCCGAUCAUGGAAGUGAUAUCCCAUUACUUUUGCUGUAGUCUGUUUGUUUGGCAGGAGUCACUAGGUCUAGCUCACACCCAAAGGGAUAGAGCUACACAGACUGUGAAUACCAGGAAGGGAGGGAAACCACUGGGAGUCAUCUGAGAAGUCAGACUCUGUCCCUCAGUUCUCCCCUCUGCCAGAUGGAAUUAAUGACAGUAAGUACCUAACAGUGCCAUCGAUGGUACUGUUACAGUUUAAGGUGAGAGCGUGUGUGGUGAUACCAAAGGAGCACAGUAGAGCGGCUGGAGUCCAGGUUGUUUUUCUCCCAACAAGAUGGGUAGGAGGGGCAAGUCACUCUGUCAGUCUGGAUGGCUGU
rnacentral:lncRNA from 1 species